rnacentral:lncRNA from 1 species
CUUUUACAGUGACUUUACAUUUAAUCCAUUGGAAGUAUGCUGAUUGAUACUUAAGUCUGGGAUAACAUGAUUGUUUUAAUAGUUGUAAUUGGCUUUGAACUCAGCUUUCAGUAAGUGGGAGUACUCUUAUUUUGUGACUAUUGUCUUCUGUUUUUAUGUUAGUUGUUUUUUGUGCUUUGGAAUGUUUUAUCAAGUUAAGCCAUUUAGAACUUAUUUCUACUGUUUGUUUUUUUAUGUUAUUCUAUUGCACUGCUGUACGUCUCAGGUUAUGGGAGGGUUGAUAGCUCACAAACAUCAGCUUUUUAAUAUAGUUGUUGGCAUAGUUUAAUGUCUGUCAUAAUUGUUUUUCUUAAUUUUUUUCAUUAUAAUUUAGUGCUUUAGUUUUCUUUUUUUUAAUUGUUUCAAUUUUUUUCUUGUCUGGGCCUGUUACGGGUGACUAUGAGUUAUGUUGUUUUCCCCUCAAUGUUAAAAGCUGUCCCUUAUAUCCAUAUCAUUUGAACUUUGAGGUAUAGUUGUCUUAUUGACAAUCAUACAGCAUAUCCUAAUCUUUAUAUUGGUAGUCAAAUAGUUUGCCUGUAUAGACCAAAUAUCAUAACAGUAAAACAAUCAGUAAAAAACUAUUCAUUCAAGUACCAUCUAUACAUGAAGUUCUAUUUUAUAAUUAAC